rnacentral:lncRNA from 1 species
AUGACAGCAAGGCUGGAUUGGAACCCAAAUCCCAGGACCCCUGGGCCUAUGCCCUGGCCAGAGAUCCCCCUGAGAAGCAAUUCAACUGCAAGGGCAAGAACACCGUGGCACCGGGAACCCAGAGGGGAAGUGGUGACAGGCACGGAAGACCAGAGCUCCCCACACUCACUCAUCUGUGAGAAACCAGAUGAGCGAGGAAGCUGGUUUGAGGAGAGCAGCCCCAGGAGCUCUGCCUGGGACACAGGGCCGGACCUGAGACACGCGAUCACCAGCACUCAAGGUCCAGCAAGGUCAGGGAGCUCAACCACCAGACAACCGGCUGAGAACUCGGCUGGCACCAUUUCCGGUCUCACUCAGGGGUGGCCUUGGCAACAUUCAGCAAAGGGUGUCAGUCUCAGGGAAGCACUCCUCUCCAGCUUUUCCAGCAAAGACUUCUUGGCAAGCCCAGCA